rnacentral:rRNA from 1 species
GAUGAACGCUGGCGGCGUGCUUAACACAUGCAAGUCGAACGAAGCGCAUUGUUUGAAUUCUUCGGAAGGAAGAUAAUGUGACUGAGUGGCGGACGGGUGAGUAACGCGUGGGCAACCUGCCAUGUACAGGGGGACAACAGUUGGAAACGGCUGCUAAUACCGCAUAAGCGCACGAGAUUGCAUGAUCUAGUGUGAAAAACUCCGGUGGUAUAUGAUGGACCCGCGUCUGAUUAGCUAGUUGGUAAGGUAACGGCUUACCAAGGCGACGAAUCAGUAGCCGACCUGAGAGGGUGACCGGCCACAUUGGGACUGAGACACGGCCCAG